rnacentral:rRNA from 1 species
GAGACUCUGUGCGCGUGCAUAUCAAUAAGCGGAGGAAAAGAAACUAACAAGGAUUCCCCUAGUAACGGCGAGUGAAGCGGGAAGAGCUCAAAUUUGAAAUCUUCAAGGUUUGACCUUGACGAAUUGUAGUUUAAAGAAGUGUUUUCGGUUAGAGGAGUAGUAAAAGUUCUUUGGAAUAGGACAUCAUAGAGGGUGAGAAUCCCGUAUUUGGUCAUUCUUUCUAGCUUUGUGACACACUCUCAACGAGUCGGAUUGUUCGGGAAUGCAGUCCAAAAUGGGUGGUAAAUUUCAUCUAAAGCUAAAUAUUGGCGAGAGACCGAUAGCGAACAAGUACCGUGAGGGAAAGAUGAAAAGAACUUUGAAAAGAGAGUUAAACAGUACGUGAAAUUGUCAAAAGGGAAGCGUUUGACACCAGUGUUGUUUAGUUGAAAAUCAAUUCAAUAGUUUUUGAUUCUAAGUAGUAUUGACUUCAUCAGCUUGCUGCUUUCUUCUCAGAAAUUAUUGAAUGCACUUUUCAGUUGACAAGUCAACAUCAAUUUCUUUUGUUGUAAAAGGGUACGAGGAAGGUGGCUUUCUUUUCGGAGAAAGUGUUUGUAGCCUUGUACCUCUGCAAUCGGAGAGAUUGAGGUCUACAGCGUAGACUCUUCGGGGUUAGAUACAUUUAGUGCUAAGUUAUAGCUUUUCAUAGACAACUUGUUGACUAUGUUAAGUCAUUGUAGCUUACUCGCUUAUGCUAUUUAUACCUACGCUUAGGAUGUUGAUCUGUAGUGCGUGCGC